CCACCACUUUUCUACACUCGAACUCCCCUAGCCUUGUGCUAGUAGGCGGAUAAACAAUUGAGGGAUUAUGUUAACAUUUAAAAACGCACCCGAAGGUGAAGUUGCUUAGUGUUGAUUGCGAAUAGGAAACAUGCUCACUUAGGAUCGGACGAGGCCUUAGUGAUUUAAUAAUGAUAUUACUCUAUGUUUGAUUUGCUUGUUUAACUU